rnacentral:tRNA from 1 species
GGGUCCAUAGCGCAGCGGUCGUCGCGCCGCCUAGCUAAGGCGGAGGACGCCGGUUCGAAUCCGGCUGGACCCC